AGCACAUGAGCCAGUCUUGUAACAUGUGUUUAACAAGCCCUUGUCAGUGGUCCAAAGUUGGGCAUGUGACAGAAGCAAGUCUUUUCAGAGCAAGAAGGGGAGCACCUCUGUAGACUACCAGGUUACGAGUAGCUUCAAAACUCCCCAUGAAGUCUCUGCCAAACUUAUUUCUUCUUGUCCUGUCCUGUCUUUUCCAGGUUGGAGCUUUUCCUGAGAUCGAUGGCCAUCUUUGACUAGCCACUGAUGACUUCCCCGGGAGCAGAGAUUUGCCACUAUUCCUGGACCAUGUCUUUAAGAUGCUGAAGAAGCAGAUCACUUCAAUAGUGCUAUCAAGCUGCCUGGAACAUCUUGAUCUUUUGC